rnacentral:rRNA from 1 species
UAUGCGAUCCAUCGAGUCUUUGAACGCAAGUUGCGCCCGAAGCCAUUAGGUUGAGGGCACGCCUGCCUGGGCGUCUCAC